rnacentral:lncRNA from 1 species
UUAGGGUCAAAAUUGGGGUCUUACAACUUCCCCUAUUUAAGGUCAUUCUAUCUGGGGAUGUGAAGGUUAAAAUAUUUGUAUCAACACGAUAGAAUGGACUUAAAUAACAACAUCAAGAAACAAAUUUUUAUCCUGAGAGACCUCAUGUUACAUAUGAUAUGAAUUUAAAAAUAAUCUUUGUGGGGGGAUAUAAUGCGACAAAGGAAAAGAAUCCGGGAGAGACUAAAAGUCCAUAGGAGCAUAAUGCAU